rnacentral:rRNA from 1 species
AAUCAACGCUGGCGGCGUGCCUCAGACAUGCAAGUCGAACGAUUAAACUUUCCUUCGGGAAAGAUAUAAAGUGGCGCACGGGUGAGUAACACGUAGGUAAUGUACCUCUGGGGUGGGGAAGUAACCAUCGGAACGAUGGCUAAUACCGCAUAAUGCAGCGGCAUCGCAAGAUGACAGUUGUUAAAGAUUUAUCGCCUAAAGAGCAGCCUGCGGCAGAUUAGGAGUUGGUAAGGUAAUGGCUUACCAAGCCUGCGAUCUGUAACCGACCUGAGAGGGU